rnacentral:rRNA from 1 species
AGAGUUUGAUCCUGGCUCAGGAUGAACGCUAGCUACAGGCUUAACACAUGCAAGUCGAGGGGCAGCAUCAUCAAAGCUUGCUUUGAUGGAUGGCGACCGGCGCACGGGUGAGUAACACGUAUCCAACCUGCCGACAACACUGGGAUAGCCUUUCGAAAGAAAGAUUAAUACCGGAUGGCAUAGUUUUUCCGCAUGGGAUAAUUAUUAAAGAAUUUCGGUUGUCGAUGGGGAUGCGUUCCAUUAGGCAGUUGGCGGGGUAACGGCCCACCAAACCAACGAUGGAUAGGGGUUCUGAGAGGAAGGUCCCCCACAUUGGAACUGAGACACGGUCCAAACUCCUACGGGAGGCAGCAGUGAGGAAUAUUGGUCAAUGGACGAGAGUCUGAACCAGCCAAGUAGCGUGAAGGAUGACUGCCCUAUGGGUUGUAAACUUCUUUUAUACGGGAAUAAAGUUAGCCACGUGUGGCUUUUUGUAUGUACCGUAUGAAUAAGGAUCGGCUAACUCCGUGCCAGCAGCCGCGGUAAUACGGAGGAUCCGAGCGUUAUCCGGAUUUAUUGGGUUUAAAGGGAGCGUAGGCGGGUUGUUAAGUCAGUUGUGAAAGUUUGCGGCUCAACCGUAAAAUUGCAGUUGAUACUGGCGACCUUGAGUGCAACAGAGGUAGGCGGAAUUCGUGGUGUAGCGGUGAAAUGCUUAGAUAUCACGAAGAACUCCGAUUGCGAAGGCAGCUUACUGGAUUGUAACUGACGCUGAUGCUCGAAAGUGUGGGUAUCAAACAGGAUUAGAUACCCUGGUAGUCCACACAGUAAACGAUGAAAAGUCGCUGUUGGGCGAUAUACGGGUCAGCGGCCAAGCGAAAGCAUUAAGUUAUUCCACCUGGAGAGUAACGCGGGCAACGGUGAAACUCAAAGGGAAAUUGUCGGGGGCCCGCUCAAGCGGGAGGAACAUGUGGUUUAAUUCGAUGAUACGCGAGGAACCUUACCCGGGCUUAAAUUGCAACUGACUGAACCGGAAAGGGUUCUUUCUUCGGACAGUUGUGAAGGUGCUGCAUGGUUGUCGUCAGCUCGUGCCGUGAGGUGUCGGCUUAAGUGCCAUAACGAGCGCAACCCUUAUCGAUAGUUACUAGCAGGUCAUGCUGAGGACUCUAGUGAGACUGCCGUCGUAAGAUGUGAGGAAGGUGGGGAUGACGUCAAAUCAGCACGGCCCUUACGUCCGGGGCUACACACGUGUUACAAUGGGGGGUACAGAAGGCAGCUACACGGCGACGUGGUGCUAAUCCCGAAAGCCUCUCUCAGUUCGGAUUGGAGUCUGCAACCCGACUCCAUGAAGCUGGAUUCGCUAGUAAUCGCGCAUCAGCCACGGCGCGGUGAAUACGUUCCCGGGCCUUGCACACACCGCCCGUCA